CAGUAGCCACGGGAAUACGAAGGGUGCAAGCGUUACUCGGAAUUACUGGGCGUAAAGCGUGUGUAGGUGGUUGUUUAAGUCUGUCGUGAAAGCCCUGGGCUCAACCUGGGAAUUGCGAUGGAUACUGGGCGACUAGAGUGCGGUAGAGGAUAGUGGAAUUUCCGGUGUAGCAGUGAAAUGCGUAGAGAUCGGAAGGAACAUCUGUGGCGAAGGCGACUAUCUGGGCCAACACUGACACUGAGACACGAAAGCGUGGGGAGCAAACAGGAUUAGAUACCCCCGUAGUCCCUGUCUCUUAUAC
rnacentral:rRNA from 1 species